rnacentral:rRNA from 1 species
GGGCCCGCACAAGCAGUGGAGUAUGUGGUUUAAUUCGAAGCAACGCGAAGAACCUUACCAGGGCUUGACAUGCAGUCGAAUGAUGUGGAAACACGUCAGUCUUUCGGGACGGCUGCACAGGUGGUGCAUGGUUGUCGUCAGCUCGUGUCGUGAGAUGUUGGGUUAAGUCCCGCAACGAGCGCAACCCUUGUUGUUAGUUGCCAGCACGUAAAGGUGGGCACUCUAACGAGACUGCCGGUGACAAAUCGGAGGAAGGUGGGGACGACGUCAAAUCAUCAUGCCCCUUAUGUUCUGGGCUACACACGUACUACAAUGGCUAUAACAGCGGGGAGCGAAGGAGUAAUCCGGAGCGAAUCCUGAAAAAUAGUCCCAGUUCGGAUUGUGGGCUGCAACCCGCCCACAUGAAGUCGGAAUUGCUAGUAAUGGCAGGUCAGCAUACUGCCGUGAAUACGUUCCCGGGCCUU